GCGGACGGGUGAGUAAUGCCUAGGAAUCUGCCUGGUAGUGGGGGACAACGUUUCGAAAGGAACGCUAAUACCGCAUACGUCCUACGGGAGAAAGCAGGGGACCUUCGGGCCUUGCGCUAUCAGAUGAGCCUAGGUCGGAUUAGCUUGUUGGUGAGGUAAUGGCUCACCAAGGCGACGAUCCGUAACUGGUCUGAGAGGAUGAUCAGUCACACUGGAACUGAGACACGGUCCAGACUCCUACGGGAGGCAGCAGUGGGGAAUAUUGGACAAUGGGCGAAAGCCUGAUCCAGCCAUGCCGCGUGUGUGAAGAAGGUCUUCGGAUUGUAAAGCACUUUAAGUUGGGAGGAAGGGUUGUAGAUUAAUACUCUGCAAUUUUGACGUUACCGACAGAAUAAGCACCGGCUAACUCUGUGCCAGCAGCCGCGGUAAUACAGAGGGUGCAAGCGUUAAUCGGAAUUACUGGGCGUAAAGCGCGCGUAGGUGGUUUGUUAAGUUGGAUGUGAAAGCCCCGGGCUCAACCUGGGAACUGCAUCCAAAACUGGCAAGCUAGAGUACGGUAGAGGGUGGUGGAAUUUCCUGUGUAGCGGUGAAAUGCGUAGAUAUAGGAAGGAACACCAGUGGCGAAGGCGACCACCUGGACUGAUACUGACACUGAGGUGCGAAAGCGUGGGGAGCAAACAGGAUUAGAUACCCUGGUAGUCCACGCCGUAAUCGAUGUCAACUAGCCGUUGGAAUCCUUGAGAUUUUAGUGGCGCAGCUAACGCAUUAAG
rnacentral:rRNA from 1 species